GACGAACGCUGGCGGCGUGCUUAACACAUGCAAGUCGAGCGGAGCGGCGAACGGGUGAGUAACGCGUGAGUAACUGCCCCCCUCUCUGGGAUAACAGUUGGAAACGGCUGCUAAUACCGGAUAGUGGGGGAUGACUCGCGUCCUAUCAGCUUGUUGGUGGGGUAGUGGCCUACCAAGGCGACGACGGGUAGCCGGCCUGAGAGGUCUACCGGCCACAUUGGGCUGAGAUACGGGCCAAACUCCUACGGGAGGCAGCAGUUGGGAAGAUUGCACAAUGGGGGAAACCCUGAUGCAGCAACGCGCGUGCGGGAUGACGGCCUUCGGUUUUUAAACCGCUGUCAGCCAUGACGCUGCAGUGGCAGAAGAAGCACCGGCUUAAUGCGUUACAGAUGCGGCGCUACUUA
rnacentral:rRNA from 1 species